AAUGGGCGCAAGCCUGAUGGAGCAACACCGCGUGAGUGAAGAAGGGUUUCGGCUCGUAAAGCUCUGUUGUUGGAGAAGAACGUGCGUGAGAGUAACUGUUCACGCAGUGACGGUAUCCAACCAGAAAGUCACGGCUAACUACGUGCCAGCAGCCGCGGUAAUACGUAGGUGGCAAGCGUUAUUCGGAUUUAUUGGGCGUAAAGCGAGCGCAGGCGGUUGCUUAGGUCUGAUGUGAAAGCCUUCGGCUUAACCGAAGAAGGGCAUCGGAAACCGGGCGACUUGAGUGCAGAAGAGGACAGUGGAACUCCAUGUGUAGCGGUGGAAUGCGUAGAUAUAUGGAAGAACACCGGUGGCGAAGGCGGCUGUCUGGUCUGCAACUGACGCUGAGGCUCGAAAGCAUGGGUAGCGAACAGGAUUAGAUACCCUGGUAGUCCAUGCCGUAAACGAUGUGUGCUAGGUGUUGGAGGGUUUCCGCCCUUCAGUGCCGGAGCUAACGCAUUAAGCACUCCGCCUGGGGAGUACGACCGCAAGGUUGAAACUCAAAGGAAUUGACGGGGGCCCGCACAAGCGGUGGAGCAUGUGGUUUAAUUCGAAGCUACGCGAAGAACCUUACCAGGUCUUGACAUCUUGCGCUAACCUAAGAGAUUAGGCGUUCCCUUCGGGGACGC
rnacentral:rRNA from 2 species